UCUCUUAACUGUUGAAUUGGUUGUUUUUUUUCCAUUUGUGUGUGUUUAGGCAGGAAGCAGUGAUGGUUCCAUAUGCUUGUACGGCCUGACUCAAGAAGCACCAUUAUUCACUUGGAAUAAUUCCACCAGCAACAUGCCCAUUGUGUCCAUGAUGUGGUCACGCAGUCGGCCUUCUGUUUUCUAUGUAGCUGAUGUGACAUCCAAAGUGUAUGUGUGGGAGCUGUUGACUAGUCAGGAAGGGCCAGUGGACAUUGAACACUUUACAGAUGGCAGGCUAAUGACAAUGCAUUUGUCACAUGAUCACACAACGUCACGCAGUGGAUUGCAAGGGAGACCACCAGAAAUGGUAAGUUUGCUCUUGAGAAAACCUUCAAUGUAUUCCGAAGGACUAUGAAAUCAAACUUAAAUGUUUGGGUAUUGUGGUAGUAGACUAAGGACUUUGUGCCUGGAUGAUAUGAUAUAUACACACUUUCAAGGCAAUUCUUAGCUUUGUUGCAAAAGGUCCAAAUACCUUUUCUAUUGCACUUGUCUCACCCGUACAGAAUUACUACAUAUGCAUUAUUCCCUUGAGGGUGUUAACCAUUUGCUAAGAUUUAAUUACCACAGUACAGGGUUCUCCCUAGGAUUUUUUCAAACCUGUGGGGGAAGUUUUGUUGUGAUUCACCAAC